GGAGGGAGAAGGCUGGAGUUCCUUGGGCAGGGUCGGGAGGGCGUUUGCACAGGAGCCAGAGGUCGCCAUCUCCUAGGAAACAAACAAAACACAGUCAUAAUGUAUAAUGCAGCAGGAUUCACAGGUUCCAACACAGCACACACACACACACACACACACACACA